UGGCUCAGAUUGAACGCUGGCGGCAGGCCUAACACAUGCAAGUCGAGCGGUAGAGAGGUGCUUGCACCUCUUGAGAGCGGCGGACGGGUGAGUAAUGCCUAGGAAUCUGCCUGGUAGUGGGGGAUAACGUUCGGAAACGGACGCUAAUACCGCAUACGUCCUACGGGAGAAAGCAGGGGACCUUCGGGCCUUGCGCUAUCAGAUGAGCCUAGGUCGGAUUAGCUAGUUGGUGAGGUAAUGGCUCACCAAGGCGACGAUCCGUAACUGGUCUGAGAGGAUGAUCAGUCACACUGGAACUGAGACACGGUCCAGACUCCUACGGGAGGCAGCAGUGGGGAAUAUUGGACAAUGGGCGAAAGCCUGAUCCAGCCAUGCCGCGUGUGUGAAGAAGUCUCGGAUUGUAAAGCACUUUAAGUUGGGAGAAGGUACUUACCUAAUACGUGAGUAUUUGACGUUACCGACAGAAUAAGCACCGGCUAACUCUGU
rnacentral:rRNA from 1 species